rnacentral:rRNA from 1 species
AGCGAACGCUGGCGGCAGGCCUAACACAUGCAAGUCGAACGAACCUUUCUGGGUUAGUGGCGGACGGGUUAGUAACACGUUGGAACGUUCCUUUAGGUUCUGAAUUACUCAGGGAAACUUGUGCUAAUACCGAAUGUGCCCUUCAGUGGUAAGAUUAAUGGCCUUUAGAGCGGCCCGCGUCUGAUUAGCUAGUUGGUUCAGGUACUGUCCCACCAAGGCGACAAUCAGUAGCUGGUCUGAGAGGAUGAUCAGCCACAUUGGGAAUGAGACACGGACCAAGAUACUACGCGAGACAGCAGUGGGGAAUCUUGCGAAAUGGGAGAAAGACUAACGCAGCCAUGCCGCGUGAAUGAUGACGGUCUUAGGAUUGUAAAAUUCUUUCACCGGGGAAGAUAAUGACGGUACCAGGAGAAGAAGCCCCGGCUAACUACGUG